GUGGGGAAUAUUGGACAAUGGGCGAAAGCCUGAUCCAGCCAUGCCGCGUGUGUGAAGAAGGUCUUCGGAUUGUAAAGCACUUUAAGUUGGGAGGAAGGGCAGUAAGUUAAUACCUUGCUGUUUUGACGUUACCGACAGAAUAAGCACCGGCUAACUUCGUGCCAGCAGCCGCGGUAAUACGAAGGGUGCAAGCGUUAAUCGGAAUUACUGGGCGUAAAGCGCGCGUAGGUGGUUUUGUAAGUUGGAGGUGAAAUCCCCGGGCUCAACCUGGGAACUGCCUCCAAAACUGCAUGACUAGAGUACGGUAGAGGGUAGUGGAAUUUCCUGUGUAGCGGUGAAAUGCGUAGAUACAGGAAGGAACACCAGUGGCGAAGGCGACUACCUGGACUGAUACUGACACUGAGGUGCGAAAGCGUGGGGAGCAAACAGGAUUAGAAACCCCAGUAGUCC
rnacentral:rRNA from 1 species